AUUGAACGCUGGCGGCAGGCUUAACACAUGCAAGUCGAGCGGGGUGAUGGUGCUUGCACUAUCACUUAGCGGCGGACGGGUGAGUAAUGCUUAGGAAUCUGCCUAUUAGUGGGGGACAACAUCUCGAAAGGGAUGCUAAUACCGCAUACGUCCUACGGGAGAAAGCAGGGGAUCACUUGUGACCUUGCGCUAAUAGAUGAGCUUAAGUCGGAUUAGCUAGUUGGUGGGGUAAAGGCCUACCAAGGCGACGAUCUGUAGCGGGUCUGAGAGGAUGAUCCGCCACACUGAGACUGAGACACGGCCCAGACUCCUACGGGAGGCAGCAGUGGGGAAUAUUGGACAAUGGGGGGAACCCUGAUCCAGCCAUGCCGCGUGUGUGAAGAAGACCUUAUGGUUGUAAAGCACUUUAAGCGAGGAGGAGGCUCUUUUGGUUAAUACCCAAGAUGAGUGGACGUUACUCGCAGAAUAAGCACCGGCUAACUCUGUGCCAGCCGCCGCGGUAA
rnacentral:rRNA from 1 species